rnacentral:tRNA from 1 species
UGGCUCAGUUGGUAGAGCAUGGUGUUUGCAACGCCACGGUUGUGGGUUGUGGGUUCGAUUCCCAC